GAGGAUAUAACUCAGUGGUAGAGUGCAUGCUUAGCAUGUGUGAGGUUUUGGGUUCAUUCCCCUGUACCUCU
rnacentral:tRNA from 1 species